rnacentral:misc_RNA from 1 species
GGUGACCUGCGGAAGGAUCAUUAAAGAGUAAGGGUGCUCAGCGCCCGACCUCCAACCCUUUGUUGUUAAAACUACCUUGUUGCUUUGGCGGGACCGCUCGGUCUCGAGCCGCUGGGGAUUCGUCCCAGGCGAGCGCCCGCCAGAGUUAAACCAAACUCUUGUUAUUUAACCGGUCGUCUGAGUUAAAAUUUUGAAUAAAUCAAAACUUUCAACAACGGAUCUCUUGGUUCUCGCAUCGAUGAAGAACGCAGCGAAAUGCGAUAAGUAAUGUGAAUUGCAGAAUUCAGUGAAUCAUCGAAUCUUUGAACGCACAUUGCGCCCCUUGGUAUUCCGAGGGGCAUGCCUGUUCGAGCGUCAUUACACCACUCAAGCUAUGCUUGGUAUUGGGCGUCGUCCUUAGUUGGGCGCGCCUUAAAGACCUCGGCGAGGCCACUCCGGCUUUAGGCGUAGUAGAAUUUAUUCGAACGUCUGUCAAAGGAGAGGAACUCUGCCGACUGAAACCUUUAUUUUUCUAGGUUGACCUCGGAUCAGGUAGGGAUACCCGCUGAACUUAA